GGUUAAUAACCGUGCUGCUGCUCCAUUUUCAACUGUUCUGCCUGUGGCUAUGGAACCCUGACCUGUUCACCGGACGUGCUACCUUUCCCAGACCUGCUGUUUUCAACUCUCUAGAGACAGCAGGAGUGGUAGGGAUACUCUCAAUGGUCGGCUAUGAAAAGCCAACUGACAUUUACUCUUGAGGUGCUGACUUGUUACACCCUCGACAACUGUGAAUAUUAUUAUUUGACCAUGCUGGUCAUUUAUGAACAUUUGAACAUCUUGGCCAUGUGCUGUUAUAAUCUCCACCCGGCACAGCCAGAAGAGGACUGGCCACCCCUCAUAGCCUGGUUCCUCUCUAGGUUUCUUCCUAGGUUUUGGCCUUUCUAGGGAGUUUUUCCUAGCCACCGUGCUUCUACACCUGCAUUGCUUGCUGUUUGGGGUUUUAGGCUGGGUUUCUGUACAGCACUUUGAGAUAUCAGCUGAUGUAAGAAGAUACAUUUGAUUUGAAUUUGAUUUAAUAGUUUUCGUUAUUACAAAAACAUCGUAACUUUAAGAGUUUUCCUAGCCUAUGCUUGAUGUUUAUACAUUGUAUGUUGUGUGGAAAAUGUCCAAAUCAAAGAGAAUGUUUUGGUAAAGAUGAAAUGUGAAGUUAGUUGUCUCAAUUGGAUCUGAGUAAAAUCCAGACCUUGCCUCGUAACUUGGUACGCCCAGAGAAUUGCCCUAAAGGCAGUUAUUUCUAUUUCCCAAAUUAACUCAAAGAAUAUCAGAAUGUUGAUUUUACAACGAUCGCUAAUUAAUCAGUUUCCUCUACAAUCUCAUUCUGAACGUCGCAUAAUCCGGGAAUCUGCACGGACCCGGGUCCCACCAAUGAGUUCGUACCACACCAAUCUUAGUUGAUUAUUUAUUUACCAGAAAGUUAAAAUGAUGAUAAAAGAUACACAUACAAAACACAAAACACAGUCUAGGCUAUUGAUUAGAACUUAGUACUACGGAUGAAUAGCUGUGUCUAAGCAGGUGAAUUCAAGCCGGACCACUUCGCCUCCACUCUCCAUCGAAUCGUGGUUUUACGCUGUUUCACUCCUACGCUGUGAGCUCUGAGCUACAGCGCUGUCUGUCCUCAGAAGACCCCUUCCAGAGCAAGGGCGAGGAACCAGACCACUAAGCCAAAAGUACACUGACAUCGUGAGGACAACCAGAGAUUUGCGCCGGAGAGAAGCCUAAACGACCCACGCGGAGCUUCCCAUCUGAGACCUCCAACACUGUGUUGGCCCGUUAUACUAAGUUCUAAUCAAUAGCCUAG
rnacentral:lncRNA from 1 species